GGAAGAAGCACCGACUCAGGAAAAUCCUGAAGAGCCAUAGAUGACUCCGGUGAUUAUACUUCUAUGGAUCAUCAAGGUCCUGUUUAAACCAGACUUCUCUUCUACUUGUGCAAAUAGUUGCUGACUGUUACAUGAUAACCAUAUUUUUUGUAGACUCCAAAUAUAUUUAUUUGACGUGUUUGUUUGGUCAUACUUUGGUGACCAUUUAUCUUGUUUCCCUGUUUAUUGGUUCCUAAAGUGUCACUGAUGUUUUUGUUUUAUAAUGUCAAUCUUCA
rnacentral:misc_RNA from 1 species